UACAGAGGUCUCAAGCGUUGUUCGGAUUCAUUGGGCGUAAAGGGUGCGUAGGCGGCGCGGUAAGUCGGGUGUGAAAUCUCGGGGCUUAACUCCGAAACUGCACUUGAUACUGCCUUGCUCGAGUACUGGAGAGGAGACUGGAAUUUAUGGUGUAGCAGUGAAAUGCGUAGAUAUCGUAAGGAAGACCAGUGGCGAAGGCGAGUCUCUGGACAGUUACUGACGCUGAGGCACGAAGGCCAGGGGAGCAAACGGG
rnacentral:rRNA from 1 species